CUGCUGCCUUCCGUAGGAGUUUGGGCCGUGUCUCAGUCCCAAUGUGGCCGUUCACCCUCUCAGGCCGGCUACUGAUCGUCGCUUUGGUAGGCCGUUACCCUGCCAACUGGCUAAUCAGACGCGGGUCCAUCUCACACCGAUAAAAUCUUUUCCGUCAGUAUCAUGCGAUACCGGCGGGUUAUGCGGUAUUAGCGGUCGUUUCCAACUGUUAUCCCCCCUCGUGUCGAAGGCUAGGUACCACGCGUUACUCACCUCGUCCGC
rnacentral:rRNA from 1 species